ensembl:lncRNA
AGGUGUUUCACUCCACAGAAAUGCACCCCAGUAAAAACCCCAAAGCUGCAGCCAGUCAAAGAUGUGGAGUUCAGAGAAAUUCAAAAGAUCUGGGACAUGCAUUUCAUCUGGGCGAGUCUGAAACUGCAACUGCUGGAUUUCCAUCCCUUCUGAAGACAACAGUUCGUAUUGGUGACCCAGUCGAUGAGACUAGAAAGUUUCCUUCUGAAGCUCACUGAGGUUCUGCCCCGACACAGCACUGACACAGCCUACAAGGCCUUUUCAAGGAGCCAUACAAACACUGCAUACUCACAGGGAGAAAGGCAAAGAAUUGAAACAAGAUCAGUACCAGUCUGGAAAACAAAAGAUAGGAUUAAGCAAUAAAUUCUCUGUGCAGCAGCCAUCAACAAGAGCCAGUGUACUGCUUAACAAACAUACUGUAAUACUAACACUAACAGGUGAUAUGGUUAUUUAGGGCUUCACGCGGGCCAGGGUGAAUUAUGAGGUCAGGCAAACACAAAAUGCAAGAAUAAAAACCAAAUGUAAAACAGAAAAAGCACCUUUUUGGCAAUCAAAAUGUAACCUAGUCUUAUACCAGACGAGGUCCUGACAACCAUUUCAAUCGGAGGAAAGAGAGUGUAAGACAGAGAGCUUGGAGUAAACCUCCUGAACAGGGGCAGCCAAGAGCCAGGUGAAUUGGCUUCAUGAGGAUGAGAAGGAUCAACCAUCUCAGUGAAGGUAGAGGUAGGAUUAGCCAAAAAGCAGCCUCUCCUGUGAAGCAAGUUCAUAAGGACUGGAACUGCUAACAUCAGACAAGUGAAAGACAGCCUGGGAUUUAAUGCAAGCGUAUACAGUAUUGCAUGUUCUGAAAAAACUAGAUGGGGCCCUUUCUUCAUCCUGUCCUGGAUUCUACUGUCACUGCAAUAAAGCACAGCAAUACCCAAAGAAAUUAAGUAGUGCUUCUCUGUAAAGCACAGAAUUAAAUGAGGAACACACUGUCCUGAGAACAGGGGAGGGUAAGGCAUAAUCAAGAUUCAAAUACUGAGAUAGAGAUAUGAAAAAUACUCAGAGUUAUCGUCGUUUAUGAUAUUUUUGGCAGAGAUGUUAUACCUUGCAAUUAAGAGAAUAAACCAAUUGCUAAAUGCUACGAUUAAAACUAUGUGUAGGCAAGAAGUGACUCGCUGUGUGCAGCAGAGUUCAUGAACCUCCUUCAAGAGCCAGCUGGAGAGUCUGUAAAUGCAAAGCCUGGAAAGCAAAGUGUGCUGAAGCUCUUUUCUCAUGGUGGCAGGAGGCACAGGGAGAUCCUGCGAAACAAAAUUGGUUCUAAAAAAAAUGAAAGUAAAUCAAAAUACCACAGUCCUGCUUGAGCUAUGUUUUUUUAUGGUCUUUUACUCAGCCUCCCUUUUUAAUUUUGCCCAGUGCUCUGUGCUACGCAUGAUUUAAUAUUUCAAAUUCAUUGCCUCUCUGAUCCAGAUCUACCAGGAACUUUGAAGUCAGACAUAGUGACACCUUUUUAAAAUGACUUAGACAAAAACAACUGCUGGCAUUUUUUGCUAUGCCUGUGAAAAUGUAUAAGACCUAAUCAUUCUGCAUGCUUUAAAAAGUGGCCUAGAAAUACAUAUGGCAAAAAGUAUUUUCGCGUGUCUUGAAAUAAACUUAGAGAGAAAAUCACUUCAUUUAAGAAAUCAUCUUUAGACAAUUUAGCAACUAUUACUUUGUGUGCCCAAAUUCUUUAGAAACCAUUUAUCCAAGCAAUAGUUAGAGGUAAUUAUCCAACCACAUGCAUACAAAGAAGGUAAGAUCUGUAACAGAGAUAGCGUUUUUCAAGUCCAUAUUGCUGGAGAAAACAGACAAGCUUUCAGACAUACAUGCCCUCUUCCAGCUCAUUUUUUCUCAAGCUACAUAAUUUGUUAAAAUAAAAUAAACCAUUUACAUCCCAGAACUAUCAUGGCUGCAACGCUGACAGUGAUACUCACGAAGCCGAAGACUUAAAAGAUGCUACAUAUGAGCAUAAGUUGUCAGCUGAAAACCAUUUCAGCACAGUGGUGAACAAAAACUAAAGCCUUACUAGCAAAUAUUUCUAUGAGGACGCCUGUUGAAGUUCUACCUUAAAUUUCUUUCUGGUGAGAAUGAAAACCUGACAGGGUUUUUUAGCUUUAUUUCAUAUUUGGCUGUUGACGUUAAUAAGAAUGUCCUGUUCAAAGAACUUCAAUGCC